UAUAAAUAAGAAUAUGAAAACUUGAGAGGAUUGAUUACCUCAUAUGGAGUUUGCUUAUAAUAGAAUAAUUCAUUCUACAACUCAUAUGUCUUUGUAGUUUAUGGUUUUAAUCUUUUAACUCCCUUAGAUUUGUUGUUUUUACCUACACUAGUGCAGAAUUGGCCUUUAACGUCAGCACAUAGACGUCCGUCCACAAAAACACCAACGUAAAUAAUUGACCGGUGGCAUAUCCGUAAAUAAGUGGAACUGUAGACGUCCGUUGUGGAGGGGGACGGACGUCUAUAAUACUAUAGAUGUCACGACCCCUCCAACGGACGUCUAAAACGCCCCGCGAAUAUCAAUUUUUAAAUCCAAAACACGUCAUAGUAGUGAUGGCCCCGAUGUCUAUACUAUUAUAGACGUCGGGGCCCCCAAGUACCGGACAUCUAAUGAUAUUUAUACUAAAACGCGAACCCACGAGGAGUUACGCUCACUGUUCAUCGUCUUUCCCGCGAUUUCACUCUGCGGCAAAGCUUUUCCAGUUUCUUGCGUGUUCUUGGGCGGCGUUUUUAACUAUUUUUGGCCUACGUUUUAGGUCGUGUCCUCCUUGAUUUCCCUCCGUUUCAUUUGGAAUCUGCUUUUCAGUAUGGAUCGAAGCUGGAUGAAUGAACGUCGCAUCAGUGAAGAAUAUGAUAAGGGUGUUUCGGAGUUCUUACAAUACGUUGAACAAAAUGCUAAGUCUGUGAACGGGACAUAUUUUUGUCAUUGUGUUCAUUGUCUUAAUCAAAUACGGCAAGACUUAGGCAAUGUGCGUGACCAUCUAUUCAUGUUUGGCAUAAUGAGGACUUAUACUGUUUGGACUUGGCAUGGAGAAGUACUGGACCAGCCUACCACGUCACGAGGAACGGAUUAUGUGGAAGAAUGAAUGAGUGACCAUUUAGAGGACAUGAUACGUGAUGUCGGUGAAGAUAAUUUUGGAAGAGCUAAUUUGUAUGAUUCUCUUAUUAAUGAUUCAGAGCAACCGUUGUUCCCAGGAUGCUCGAACUUUACACGUCUGUCUGCAACUUUAAAGUUGUUUAGCUUAAAAGCAAGGAAUGGAUGGACCAAUAAAAGUUUCACUGAGUUGUUGGAGUUGUUGAAGGAGAUGCUUCCAGAAAAUAAUACCUACCUAUUCGUAAUUAUGAGGCAAAAUUUAUUUUAUGUCCAAUGGGUCUUAAAUAUCAAAAGAUACAUGCUUGUCCUAAUGAUUUUGUUUUGUACACAAGGGAGUUUGCUUCGCUAAAGUAUUGUCCAACAUGUGGUUUAUCCCGUUUUAAAA